GAUGAACGCUGGCGGCGUGCCUAAUACAUGCAAGUCGAGCGAACAGACGAGGAGCUUGCUCCUUUGACGUUAGCGGCGGACGGGUGAGUAACACGUGGGUAACCUACCUAUAAGACUGGGAUAACUUCGGGAAACCGGAGCUAAUACCGGAUGAUAUUUCGAACCGCAUGGUUCGAUAGUGAAAGAUGGCUUUGCUAUCACUUAUAGAUGGACCUGCGCCGUAUUAGCUAGUUGGUAAGGUAACGGCUUACCAAGGCAACGAUACGUAGCCGACCUGAGAGGGUGAUCGGCCACACUGGAACUGAGACACGGUCCAGACUCCUACGGGAGGCAGCAGUAGGGAAUCUUCCGCAAUGGGCGAAAGCCUGACGGAGCAACGCCGCGUGAGUGAUGAAGGUCUUCGGAUCGUAAAACUCUGUUAUUAGGGAAGAACAAACGUGUAAGUAACUGUGCACGUCUUGACGGUACCUAAUCAGAAAGCCACGGCUAACUACGUG
rnacentral:rRNA from 1 species